UUAAGCGACUAAGCGUACACGGUGGAUGCCCUGGCAGUCAGAGGCGAUGAAGGACGUGCUAAUCUGCGAUAAGCGUCGGUAAGGUGAUAUGAACCGUUAUAACCGGCGAUUUCCGAAUGGGGAAACCCAGUGUGAUUUGUCACACUAUCAUUAACUGAAUCCAUAGGUUAAUGAGGCGAACCGGGGGAACUGAAACAUCUAAGUACCCCGAGGAAAAGAAAUCAACCGAGAUUCCCCCAGUAGCGGCGAGCGAACGGGGAGGAGCCCAGAGCCUGAAUCAGUGUGUGUGUUAGUGGAAGCGUCUGGAAAGGCGCGCGAUACAGGGUGACAGCCCCGUACACAAAAAUGCACAUGCUGUGAGCUCGAUGAGUAGGGCGGGACACGUGGUAUCCUGUCUGAAUAUGGGGGGGACCAUCCUCCAAGGCUAAAUACUCCUGACUGACCGAUAGUGAACCAGUACCGUGAGGGAAAGGCGAAAAGAACCCCGGCGAGGGGAGUGAAAAAGAACCUGAAACCGUGUACGUACAAGCAGUGGGAGCACGCUUCGGCGUGUGACUGCGUACCUUUUGUAUAAUGGGUCAGCGACUUAUAUUCUGUAGCAAGGUUAACCGAAUAGGGGAGCCGAAGGGAAACCGAGUCUUAACUGGGCGUUAAGUUGCAGGGUAUAGACCCGAAACCCGGUGAUCUAGCCAUGGGCAGGUUGAAGGUUGGGUAACACUAACUGGAGGACCGAACCGACUAAUGUUGAAAAAUUAGCGGAUGACUUGUGGCUGGGGGUGAAAGGCCAAUCAAACCGGGAGAUAGCUGGUUCUCCCCGAAAGCUAUUUAGGUAGCGCCUCGUGAAUUCAUCUCCGGGGGUAGAGCACUGUUUCGGCAAGGGGGUCAUCCCGACUUACCAACCCGAUGCAAACUGCGAAUACCGGAGAAUGUUAUCACGGGAGACACACGGCGGGUGCUAACGUCCGUCGUGAAGAGGGAAACAACCCAGACCGCCAGCUAAGGUCCCAAAGUCAUGGUUAAGUGGGAAACGAUGUGGGAAGGCCCAGACAGCCAGGAUGUUGGCUUAGAAGCAGCCAUCAUUUAAAGAAAGCGUAAUAGCUCACUGGUCGAGUCGGCCUGCGCGGAAGAUGUAACGGGGCUAAACCAUGCACCGAAGCUGCGGCAGCGACACUAUGUGUUGUUGGGUAGGGGAGCGUUCUGUAAGCCUGUGAAGGUGGCCUGUGAGGGUUGCUGGAGGUAUCAGAAGUGCGAAUGCUGACAUAAGUAACGAUAAAGCGGGUGAAAAGCCCGCUCGCCGGAAGACCAAGGGUUCCUGUCCAACGUUAAUCGGGGCAGGGUGAGUCGACCCCUAAGGCGAGGCCGAAAGGCGUAGUCGAUGGGAAACAGGUUAAUAUUCCUGUACUUGGUGUUACUGCGAAGGGGGGACGGAGAAGGCUAUGUUGGCCGGGCGACGGUUGUCCCGGUUUAAGCGUGUAGGCUGGUUUUCCAGGCAAAUCCGGAAAACUAAGGCUGAGGCGUGAUGACGAGGCACUACGGUGCUGAAGCAACAAAUGCCCUGCUUCCAGGAAAAGCCUCUAAGCAUCAGGUAACAUCAAAUCGUACCCCAAACCGACACAGGUGGUCAGGUAGAGAAUACCAAGGCGCUUGAGAGAACUCGGGUGAAGGAACUAGGCAAAAUGGUGCCGUAACUUCGGGAGAAGGCACGCUGAUAUGUAGGUGAAGCGACUUGCUCGUGGAGCUGAAAUCAGUCGAAGAUACCAGCUGGCUGCAACUGUUUAUUAAAAACACAGCACUGUGCAAACACGAAAGUGGACGUAUACGGUGUGACGCCUGCCCGGUGCCGGAAGGUUAAUUGAUGGGGUUAGCGGUAACGCGAAGCUCUUGAUCGAAGCCCCGGUAAACGGCGGCCGUAACUAUAACGGUCCUAAGGUAGCGAAAUUCCUUGUCGGGUAAGUUCCGACCUGCACGAAUGGCGUAAUGAUGGCCAGGCUGUCUCCACCCGAGACUCAGUGAAAUUGAACUCGCUGUGAAGAUGCAGUGUACCCGCGGCAAGACGGAAAGACCCCGUGAACCUUUACUAUAGCUUGACACUGAACAUUGAGCCUUGAUGUGUAGGAUAGGUGGGAGGCUUUGAAGUGUGGACGCCAGUCUGCAUGGAGCCGACCUUGAAAUACCACCCUUUAAUGUUUGAUGUUCUAACGUUGACCCGUGAUCCGGGUUGCGGACAGUGUCUGGUGGGUAGUUUGACUGGGGCGGUCUCCUCCUAAAGAGUAACGGAGGAGCACGAAGGUUGGCUAAUCCUGGUCGGACAUCAGGAGGUUAGUGCAAUGGCAUAAGCCAGCUUGACUGCGAGCGUGACGGCGCGAGCAGGUGCGAAAGCAGGUCAUAGUGAUCCGGUGGUUCUGAAUGGAAGGGCCAUCGCUCAACGGAUAAAAGGUACUCCGGGGAUAACAGGCUGAUACCGCCCAAGAGUUCAUAUCGACGGCGGUGUUUGGCACCUCGAUGUCGGCUCAUCACAUCCUGGGGCUGAAGUAGGUCCCAAGGGUAUGGCUGUUCGCCAUUUAAAGUGGUACGCGAGCUGGGUUUAGAACGUCGUGAGACAGUUCGGUCCCUAUCUGCCGUGGGCGCUGGAGAACUGAGGGGGGCUGCUCCUAGUACGAGAGGACCGGAGUGGACGCAUCACUGGUGUUCGGGUUGUCAUGCCAAUGGCACUGCCCGGUAGCUAAAUGCGGAAGAGAUAAGUGCUGAAAGCAUCUAAGCACGAAACUUGCCCCGAGAUGAGUUCUCCCUGACUCCCUGAGAGUCCUGAAGGAACGUUGAAGACGACGACGUUGAUAGGCCGGGUGUGUAAGCGCAGCGAUGCGUUGAGCUAACCGGUACUAAUGAACCGUGAGGCUUAACCUU
rnacentral:rRNA from 1 species